CACCGCGGUGGUCCCGCUCAGGGUGGCCCCGGCGUCUGGAGUGCGCUUCAGAGCCACGGCCCCCGAGACCCGAACCAACCGCAAUCGAGCCGGAGACAGACCGUGUUGAGGGAGUGACCUUUCUACGGGAAGUGGCUCGUUCGGUGAUCUCAGGAGGCCGAGUUUCAGCUUCGGCAGAAACGUUAAUACUGGGGUGGUGGCCGCAGCACGGACGCCCCCUUGUGCGACCAAGAUACGAUCAAGGCCUGUCCUGCCAUCGGAAACAACUCUGUCCUUGCAGAGAUGCCUGCCACUGGAAACAACUGGAAACACUGGCUAUUUACCAAGGGUUUGACUGGAAUGUCAUAUUUGAGCGAGAGGUGCAUAAACUCAGAUAUGACCAUACAGCUUUCGGGAACUGCUUGGAUAAGUCGGUCUGGAGCCUUGUUCAUAGGGUUCUUGGCAGCCUUACCAGAGAGAGACAGAGCAUGAACGGGGGAG